UACGUAGGGUGCAAGCGUUGUCCGGAAUUAUUGGGCGUAAAGAGCUCGUAGGCGGUGUGUCGCGUCGGCCGUGAAAACCAGCAGCUCAACUGUUGGCUUGCGGUUGAUACGGGUGGGCUGGAGUUCGGUAGGGGAGACUGGAAUUCCUGGUGUAGCGGUGAAAUGCGCAGAUAUCAGGAGGAACACCGGUGGCGAAGGCGGGUCUCUGGGCCGAUACUGACGCUGAGGAGCGAAAGCGUGGGGAGCGAACAGG
rnacentral:rRNA from 1 species